rnacentral:rRNA from 1 species
GACGAACUGUGCGAACGUUAUUCGGAAUCACUGGGCUUACAGGGUGCGUAGGCGGCCGGACAAGUGGAAGGUGAAAUCCCCGAGCUCAACUCGGGAACUGCCCUCCAAACUGUUUGGCUUGAGUCCGGGAGAGGUGAGUGGAAUUCCCAGUGUAGCGGUGAAAUGCGUAGAUAUUGGGAGGAACACCAGUGGCGAAGGCGGCUCACUGGACCGGAACUGACGCUGAGGCGCGAAAGCGUGGGGAGCAAACAGG